rnacentral:sRNA from 1 species
UGGAAAAGUACGCGAUUGGCGUUAAGUGC